UACGUAGGGCGCAAGCGUUAUCCGGAAUUAUUGGGCGUAAAGAGCUCGUAGGCGGUUUGUCGCGUCUGCCGUGAAAGUCCGGGGCUCAACUCCGGAUCUGCGGUGGGUACGGGCAGACUAGAGUGAUGUAGGGGAGACUGGAAUUCCUGGUGUAGCGGUGAAAUGCGCAGAUAUCAGGAGGAACACCGGUGGCGAAGGCGGGCUGCUGGGCUAGCUGACGUGACGUGAGGAGCGAAAGCGUGGGGAGCGAACAGG
rnacentral:rRNA from 1 species